AUGUCUGAGAUAAUCAAUGAAGUUCCUGUGUAGAGAAUAAAUUGAGCUCGAAUGGCUCCUCUUAAACUGUACAAUCAAAGAAAGUGGAGGGUUUUGCUGAUGAUUUUGAUAUUCAGUUUAACUUUCUUCACCAGGCUGUCAGCUCAGUGAAAGUGAGGUCAAUCUGACCACACUCUUCCUAAAGGAUCCUCUUCAGAACCAUCUACUUGAGUAUACAUCUCCUGACAAAUCAAUGGCAGAAUCGAGAGGUUCUCUUCUGAUCUUGUCUGCAUCCUGAUGUGAAAUGAAGUGUCACCUGCCAACCUGAUUAUGGAAGAGUUGGAGUUGCUGGAGGAGUUUGUGUCCUUUGAAACUACUGGCAAAAUCUUAUUUUCCUUGGUGGUGUGGCAUCCUUAUAACAGACCUGCACAGUGCAAAUGAAAGGAGUUUGCUGGACUGGUGAAGCAAUGUUUUCCUCUGGGUCUGGGUCUCCAUGUCCACCCCCUGCCAGGACAGGUAAAUCCCACACAUGUAGUACCUGUACAUAUUGUUGACAAGUCUCUCCCUCUGUGAGGGAUUGUGGGUGUCAUGGGGAUAAACAUUUUGGGUCAGGCUUUGAGGUACCUUGGGGGAGGAGUGUGCAUGGGGGAGGUUGCAAAGUGCCAGACUGUGCUGCACCUGACUAUGGCCAAGGCAUUUUGCUCUCUCAUUUUCAUGAACACAUAAUUCAUUCAUAAAUUUUUAAAGGGGAAAGAAUCAUUGUUUAAUGAACUUUUGUGAAGAAAACAGAGCGAGAGAGAAAAGAAACACUGUGGGCUCCUUACUCCCUAGACUUAUGACCUGCAUAACUUCAAUCAUUGUGUUAUUUAGACAGCUUUCCUAUUUAGCCAGCAUUAAAUUUGUAUGCUCCCACAUGGUUGAGUUGCUACUUUUAUUAUCCAUGCAGCUGAGAUACUCUGAGGGAACAUGAUGGGUUGGGAGGAGGAGGGGAGGCGAGGACAGCCAUCUCCAAAAUGCAGUGGACAUGUCUUUCUGGCUCUAUGCUGGUUGCACUCCAGCAGGUACAAGCUGACGGGAAUCGGCAGCAGCAGCCAUGCGAACGAGGUCAGUGUUGGUUAUUCUGUGGCUUUUUUAUUCUUCUGAGCACUCUGAAAAUGUGGGUGUGCAUGUUAAAACUGCCCUAUGAGGCAGCUCUGACAUGUGGGGCUGCCUGGCACAAACACAGCACAUAAUAACACAAAGUAUUUGGCAGCAUUACAGGGCUAAUCUUUACGUAACUGUUCCCGGACAACUUCUCUGGUGUGCUGAGCAC